CCCGUUAUAGAAAGCAUAGCUGCAACACCACGGCGGAAUCUAAACCACGCAGUCCUACUGGUGCAGAGCCAUGUCCCUUAGAUGCAACCGUCCACUACAGCUGGGAGUUUGCGCAGUAGGUCCAUAUUCCACACCAUAGCCAACAGUGAAGGCUUGAUUGGAUACAGAUUAUCAGAUUCAUUUCUAUAUUCCAG